rnacentral:rRNA from 2 species
GUAAACGGCGGCCGUAACUAUAACGGUCCUAAGGUAGCGAAAUUCCUUGUCGGGUAAGUUCCGACCUGCACGAAUGGCGUAACGAUGGCCACACUGUCUCCUCCCGAGACUCAGCGAAGUUGAAGUGUUUGUGAUGAUGCAAUCUACCCGCGGCUAGACGGAAAGACCCCAUGAACCUUUACUGUAGCUUUGCAUUGGACUUUGAACCGAUCUGUGUAGGAUAGGUGGGAGGCUAUGAAACCGGAACGCUAGUUUCGGUGGAGCCGUCCUUGAAAUACCACCCUGGUUUGUUUGAGGUUCUAACCUUGGCCCGUGAUCCGGGUCGGGGACAGUGCAUGGUAGGCAGUUUGACUGGGGCGGUCUCCUCCCAAAGCGUAACGGAGGAGUACGAAGGUACGCUAGGUACGGUCGGAAAUCGUGCUGAUAGUGCAAUGGCAUAAGCGUGCUUAACUGCGAGACCGACAAGUCGAGCAGGUGCGAAAGCAGGUCAUAGUGAUCCGGUGGUUCUGUAUGGAAGGGCCAUCGCUCAACGGAUAAAAGGUACUCUGGGGAUAACAGGCUGAUACCGCCCAAGAGUUCAUAUCGACGGCGGUGUUUGGCACCUCGAUGUCGGCUCAUCUCAUCCUGGGGCUGUAGCCGGUCCCAAGGGUAUGGCUGUUCGCCAUUUAAAGAGGUACGUGAGCUGGGUUUAAAACGUCGUGAGACAGUUUGGUCCCUAUCUGCCGUGGGCGUUGGAUAUUUGAAGGGGGCUGCUCCUAGUACGAGAGGACCGGAGUGGACGAACCUCUGGUGUACCGGUUGUCACGCCAGUGGCAUCGCCGGGUAGCUAUGUUCGGAAGAGAUAACCGCUGAAAGCAUCUAAGCGGGAAACUCGCCUUAAGAUGAGAUAUCCCUGGGGACUAGAUCCCCUUGAAGGGUCGUUCGAGACCAGGACGUUGAUAGGUCAGGUGUGUAAGCGCAGUAAUGCGUUCAGCUAACUGAUACUAAUUGCCCGUAAGGCUUGAUCCUA